UUUGGGGUGUUGCAUCUGAUAAGAUCUCAUCAGUAGUGGUUUCGAUUUUGAUGUUUUAUCUUUCCUAGAAUCUCGGAAGCACACUUAGGUUGGAAACACGCCGGUAGCAUUUAUUUAUCUUUAUUUGUUGCUAUUUGAGUUAGUUUGCUGCUUGGAUAUCAUGCCAUACCAGCUCUAACAUCCAUGCAUAUGAUUUCUCCAGGGUCAUAUUCUGAAUAAUAGUGCAAGGUACUUUGAGUUAAUGUUCUGCAAAUUAGUGCAUCUGGAACGCUAGGAUGUGUGGGAACACAAAGGAGUUGGUGUGUGCCUCCAUUGCGGCUUAGGAUGUUUACGGUGGUCUUUCUUUUUUAUCUGAAUGGAGAGGGCCGCUGGUUCUUGAUCUUUAGGUUAACCAGUUUUUUUAUGUUGCGUGCUCAUGCUGCCCUAUGUUUUCUUUCUUGAUCUGAAUGGAGAGAGUGCCACUGGUUCUUGAUCUUAAGGUGACCCAAUUUUUUAUGUUGCGUGCUCAUGCUGCUCUCUGUUUUCUUUUAAUACUUCUUGCUUGCUAUUUUAUUGUUGUUAGGAAUGCCGUGUUAAUUUAGUUUCCUACUACUUUGAUCUGUCAAGUAUAUUAAAAACUUUGUAAGUUCUAAUGUAUCAACAAGAAUCUGCGGAUGCUUCUUUUCUUCUUGGGUUCUUAAAAAAGCACAAAGGUGGUCCAUCUUGAACUGUAAUUUGUUCGGUGCUGUUUUUCUAAUUCCCUACGAAAUUAUUAGUCAUUUUGGUGUUUGGAGGUACACUGUCAAGGUGACUAAUAAACUUUUUUCCUUUUACAAUGUACAAUGCAUAUAUAAGUUAAUAUUAUGUACUUUUGUAAAUGAAGUUACUAUAGUUGAGAGCAUGGAUAUGGCCCUUCCAAAGCUCUAUGCAGCAGAGAACGGCGGGCGUGGCGGAGCGACCCCGUGGGAGGACACGUCGGCCUGCUGCUACGAGUGAGGUGCGGCAAGCCACACUUCCUGUCAAGUGGUUAUCUUUUGUGAUCUCAUGAACCUACUAAACUCGAUGCUACCUUAUGAUAACCUUAUGGUGAUGUUGAACUCCAUAAUUUCUUGCUUCUAUCAUAUGUGAAUGUUUCUUCUUAUUUUUAUUUAGUUAUAUUCUGUUUGAGUAAGUAUGUUAAACGUGGGUUACUACUAAUUUGAGCAUUUCCUGCAUAACCACAACGUUGGGACCGGCACCCUUGCGCCAAGGCGUGUUGCCGAUCUAGUAAUCUAUGCACCCACGAGGUCCAGGCGACAAACCUCCGGUCGAUCCGAAAAAAAUGGUGUAAAAAAAAUCUACGAAAAUUAACCAGACGAGCAAGCGAGGCCUCCAGGGUGCCCUCGAGCGAGAACGAUGCCACACCACCAGAUCCCUUCGCCGCUGCCUCGCCCUCGCAUCCCUGCGCCACUUCGCCGCCGCUGAGAUCCGAGAAGAGUCGACCUUCGCCGCCAAGAUCCCGUGCCUUUCUACAUAUCCCUCUCACUCCUCUUCGCCCAUCCACGUAGAUCGAAACCCGUCGCCCCUCUGUCGCUGCUGGUGCUCGAGGGAAGACGAGGGCGGCUCCUCCCGGCGAUUCCCCAUGGUCCUCGGCGAUUCCUCCCGGCGAUUCCCCAUGGUCCUCCGCGGUGGUGACGGUUAGCUGCAUCGAAAAGACAAUGGGGCGAUGGGCGCCGGGGUCGGGCACUGCUGGUCAGCGGAAGGCGCUCGCUACUACCUGGCUCCACUUGGACACCACCGGGUUAAGCCUUGGCGUCGACCUGGGCGCCGCUGCCUUUGCAACUGCUCCUCGCUGCUGAGUAGUUGUGCGUUAUAUCUUUCCCGCUUCAUACAUGAACAUGCCUGACUGUUUCCUGAAAUGUGACACUUAUUUGUUGAAAUACUUAUGUCAUGAUUUGGGAUUGCUUGUUUAGAAGCUUCCAUGAUAUCAUUUCCUUCA